GACAGAGGGUGCAAACGUUGCUCGGAAUCACUGGGCGUAAAGGGCGUGUAGGCGGGAAGUAAAGUCAGAUGUGAAAUCCCUGGGCUCAACCCAGGAACUGCAUUUGAAACUCACUUUCUUGAGUACCGGAGAGGAAGGCGGAAUACCUGGUGUAGAGGUGAAAUUCGUAGAUAUCAGGUGGAACACCAGCGGCGAAGGCGGCCUUCUGGACGGUAACUGACGCUGAGACGCGAAAGCGUGGGGAGCAAACAGG
rnacentral:rRNA from 1 species